rnacentral:lncRNA from 1 species
AAGAAACCUUUUGGUCCAAGACUGACUUCGGUGGAAUCCUACUUUAGUUUGUUGUUGGUACCCUAUCUGGGAGGGAGUGGUUAUUUCCUUAGGAAAAUAAUCAUGAAAUAAGGACACUGUCACAGCAUCAUAGACAGUGGCAAGUUUUAUCCUGAAUUGGAUUGCUGCUACACUGGCUAUUGAGAAGGAAAUGGGGUAGAAGACUUUAAGAAGUGCAAUAAAUAGUGUGAUAGUCUUUUAGCUCAGCUCAGAGAAUAUCACCCAGAAUGGGCACCCAUUAUUACAGAGAUCAAGUCCUUUUAGUCAAAGGACCUUUGCCUCAGGGUGAAGAGAGUGGCUUAGAGCUACACUUUUAAACCUAUUCAAGAACUGAACUCAAACAGGUCAGAGGUCUACACAAGGAUGCAGACAUAAGCCAGUUUCCCAAUAUUGCCGAUAGCGUCAAGGAUCUGUUUACUCACACGGGGCCUGUCUGCCACAAUCCUUGUGUCUGUCACCCUUUCUCCUUCGUGGUUUUAAACUGCUCAUUAUGCAUGGAACUUGAUUGCCCAACCCUGCUUGGGGGAUGAAAACAUUAGCCAACAAAGAAAGAAAAACAGAUAAGGAGGUCCACUUCUGGAACAAGUCAGACCGGGGAGAGAUCAGGGCCAGGGGGAGCCAGAGGGAAGGAGUUCCUCGGGGGCCAGGACCUGGUCACAGCGCCCUCUCUCCGCCCAGCCCUGCGGCUCCAGGGCUGCGCGCCUUGGGAGGGAAGAUGGUGAAAGCAGAAGCAGCGCCUACACCGGGAGAGCAGGGAGGAGGA